AGCUGCACGCAGGGCCUGACGCGCUCUCCCUGGGAGCCCGCAGGAAAUGUCACGGGAAAAGCCUGCAAAGUGGUUCUCAGCCCCUUUCUCCAUCAGACUCGCCAGGGCGGACUGCUCUUAAACGUUUUGAACUUGGUUAUUAUUAAUGAUUGGGAGAGGCUUCUGAGCAAAGAAGUCUAAAAUGGACUUAAUGCAUAUCUGUUCUGAAUCGGCCCUGUGUUCCCUGGAAACUAAUGCAGUGUGUCCACCAGCAGAGAUGACAUUAAGAAACAACCUUGUCUUCAAAAAGCAAAAGCCCUGCCGAGAAUAAAAAUGCUUCCCUGGGUCCAACAAGGGCUUCUUCAAGAAAAACUUGAAGAGACGGUGAUUAAGUCACUCGGAGCUGAACUUUCAGGCAGCUUUGUUGAAUAUUCAUGAUGUUUAAUUUUUAAAUCUCUCUCAAAUGGAAUUCUGUGGAGACAUGGUGCAGCUAAGAGGCAAAGCAGUCAAACGUAACCACAGACAUUAUCAGGGAAUGUGAUCCGCACCCCCUGAUUCCCUGGAGAGCCACUUCUGAAGAUACAGUGAUGGAAUGAACGCGCAUGACCAAAUAACUUACUAAUUGUUAUUGCUAGAACAUGCUGGAAGUGACUACUUAUAUAAACAUUUGUAAAAGUUAGAUGCCUGGUUCUGGCUGGGUUGAGUGAACCCAUCACCAGGGAAGACAUAUUCUUGACUCUCAAUAGAUUUGGCUUGUCUUGCUUCUUUUCUAGAAAAUACUAUUCAGCAAGCAGAAAAAAGAGAGAGAGAGAGAGAGAGAGAGAGAGAGAGAGAGAGAGAGAGAGGUUUAACAAAGUCUCAGCACCCUGAAGGAAGAGGAAAAACUUCCUUUGGUUCUCAUUUUCAAAACACCUGACCCCACUGUCUGAGGCACCCUGGCAUUAAACAAACACAAAUUGCAGCCAGAUGCAAUGGGGCAUGCGGCUCAGGAGGCUGAGGCAGGAGGAUCGAGAGUUCAAAGCCAGCCUCAGCAAAAGUGAGGCCCUAAGCAAC